GCUUACGGCCAUACCACCCUGAGAACGCCCGAUCUCGUCUGAUCUCGGAAGCUAAGCAGGGUCGGGCCUGGUUAGUACUUGGAUGGGAGACCUCCUGGGAAUACCAGGUGCUGUAAGCU
rnacentral:rRNA from 1 species